AUUGUUAACUAACUUAGUAGCGUUACCUCGAUAGCUAACCUCUUGACCAUCCAAGUCCUGUCUCCAACGAGGAUUAAAGACUACAUGGGAUCUAUCUGCUGCCUUUGACAUCGUGAACCAUCAGCUCCUACUCUCCACCCUCAGAGCUGGGCGUCUCAGCCUCUGGACAGUCCUGGAUUGCAUCCUAACUGGCAGGUUGCUCCUACCAGGUGACGUCUGCAUCACAUGCUCUCACUACUGGUGUCCCCCAGGGUUCGGUUCUAGGCCCUCUCUUCUUUUCUCUAUACACAAAGUCACUCUGCUUUGUCAUAUAUUCACAUGGUCUCUCCCAUCAUUGCUAUGCGGAUGAUACGCAACUACUUUUCUCCUCCCCCCUUCUUCUGACACCAGGUGAUGACACAUCACAUCUCUGCAUGCCUGGCAGAUAUUUGAGCUUGGAUGUCAGCCUACCACCUCAAGCUCAACUUCGACAAGACAGAGUUGCUAUUUGUCCCGGGAAAGGCCUGCCUUCUCACAGAACUCUCAAUCGCGGCUGACAACUCUGUGGUGUCCCCUUUCCAGAGUGCAAAGAACCAGGGGAUCAGCUUCUUCUCAGCCCAGUCAAUGCUCUUCUCUGGCCUGGCAGCCUAAUGGUGGAAUGAGCUUCCCCCUGCAGCUAGGACAGCAGAGUCCCUUGCCCAUCAUCCGAAAACAUAUUUUUUAAAGCUAUGGAUCCGGAUCACGUUCUGCACAUUUUACCCAUCCUCUUCUGAACCAUUACGUCUGUGCCUCAUAUUUCUGGACAGCCGAAAUAAAAACCCUGCUGCGAUUUGAACAAACAUUUCAAGGGCAUUAUGAAAGCUACAACCUUGUCUGUCUGUUGUAACAGAUCUUGCAGUUGCUCAAGCAGGACGCAGUCCCUACACUGUAUUGGAGCAAAGAAAUAUGCUUUUUGUAGUAUGAUGUAGGCUAAUCUUUGUAGUUGCUGCCAUAUCUUAGCCACUAGCCAGAGUUUCUGAAAAAGAACGCUAAUACUUUGACUGCCUGUCUGCCUCCUCCUUAGCCAAUGUUUGUAAUGAUGAUUAAAAAGAUUAGCGAUUUAGACUGCAUGUCUGUGUGUUGCUUGCGUUUGAUAUGCUGCCUUGAUAGCUGCAUGUCACUCCCCACUUUAGUUUUACAUUGGGGCAAAAAACUAUCUGCGAGUUUAUACGAACAUGCUUAUCAUGUCCUUGUGUACAACAUGUAAAUAGCUGCAUGUAGCCCAACUCCCCUCCUGAAAAAGGAACAUGAAAUUGUGCUUAGGCUUAAUAGCCUAUUGAGGCAUGGAAUACAAAUGUCCUUUGUGUACAACAUGAAGUGUGUAAAUUACACCAGACAAAGGCAUUAAUCGCUGAUCAAAGUGGCAGUGGAGCACUGAGCAGCAGCUACAUAGGCAGUGUAGUGGGCAGCCGCUAAAAGAAUCCUGCACAUAAGCAGAAAUCUCUGUAUUUUUUUGCCAUGGCAAAUAGGGUUUCCAGAAACUCUAGAACCACAGCCUUCGACAAAAAAUGUUUAAAGUUUGCGGGAGGUGAGCACCUUCUCACGUCAAGUUCCAUUUUUAUAAACGCAAACUUUUGCAUGAACUGGCACACGCAUAUUUUGGGGUAUAUUUUGUAUAUGCACGGUUUAUAAAUUAGACCCCUCUUUUUAAGCCCCUUGUAGAUCUUCUGCUCUAAAAUCUCUUUUUGGGUGUAUCUGCUGCUGUCACUGCCACAUCUACAGGUAACUGCCAAAAUAAAGGAAACACCAACAUAAAAUGUUUUAAUAGGGUGUUGGGCCUCCACGAGCCAUAACAGCUUCAUUACACCUUGGCAUAGAUUCUACACAUUUCUGAAACUCUAUUGGAGGGAUGCGACAUCCAUUCAUCCACAAAACAUUCCAUAAUUUGGUGUUUUGUUGAUAGAGGUGGAAAACAGUCUCAGGCACCCCUCCAAAAUCUCCAUGGCGUGUUCAAGUUGGUUGAUAUCUAGUAACUGAGAUGGCCCAUAUUUUCAUGCUCAUCAAACCAUUCAGUGACCACUCGUGCCCUGUCGAUGGAAGGACUGUCAUCCUAUUGGGGAAAAGCCAUGGUAGCCAAAAUAAUAGCCUGCCCAGCAUUUUUUCAUGACCCUAAGCAUGAUGGGAUGUCAAUUGCUCAGUAACCACACCUGUGUGGAAGCAUCUGCUUUUAAUAUACUUUUCAUCCCCCAUUUACUCAAUUCUUUGCAUUAUUUUGGUAGUUAGAGCGUAAAUCUCAGAAAAUACAGCUAUCAGUGCAGGACAGUUAAUAACCACAGCAAUAAACACAAGAAACCAUACGUUACUAAAACUCAUCCUCUCUGGAGCUCUCUCUUCAGGCCUACUCAGUCACCCUUGGGCUGUCCUCUACUCUCUUCACUGCCUCAGCAUAGGACACUUUCUGCACAACUCAAAUUCUGUCAAUCUCAACCUGUCUCUCUCUCACAGGGCACACAGUUGACAACGUGCUUUCUCUAUCCCAACUCCCAACACUCUCCCUUCUAGACACUGCUGCAACAUGUCAAUCAUUUACACCUAAAGCACCAUAGCAGGGAUCCAGAGAGCAAAGUGUAGGUGGGCGAGUAGAAUGAUACUGUGAUCAGCUGAGCUGAGGGGGCAGGGGGAGUGACCUAUAGGCUCCUGAAAAUGGGCCAUAGCAUAAUUCUAGAAUCAUAUUGUGGUGAGAAGCACAGGUCACCUUUCAUUUUUUUUUUUUUUUUUUUUUUUUACAUUUUGAUGGUCGAAUUUUUGUGCUUUAUCCAUGGUGCAAUGGUUAAAAGCCCCAAGGACAAAAUGGUGAGAAUCUGGUGACAUGGUAUCCAAGUUUAUGCAGGGUUGCUCUUUGGGUGGAUAUAAAUAAUAUAGAAUAGUUGGGGGAAUUCACGUGGCAGAUAAAAGGGGCAAAGAGAUGGUCUCGGCCCUAAUACUGUUUUGCACCAGUUCUUAUUUACAUAAAUGCAAACCCCACCGCACCGUUAUUUUACUGUCUCAGCUUGUCUCUAUCCAAAUGGACUGGUGCGCCAAAUCCAUCAAUGGAAAGACCGUUGUCACCCACUCCACUAUCCAACCAAGUCUCUGUGAAAGCAAGAACAAGGGCAUUCCUACAGUUGAAGUCGGAAGUUUACAUACACCUUUAAACUCAGUUUAUCACAAUUCCUGACAUUUAUUCAAAGUAAAAAUGCCCUGUUUUAGGUCAGUUAGGAUCACCACUUUAUUUUAAGAAUGUUAAAUGUCAGAAUAAUAGUAGAGAGAAUUAUUUAUUUCAGCUUUUAUUUCUUUCAUCACAUUCCUAGUGGGUCAGAAGUUUACAUGCACUAAAUUCAUAUUUGGUAGCAUUGCCUUUAAAUAGUUGAACUUGGGUAAACGUUUUGGGUAGCCUUCCACAAGCUUCCCACAACAAGUUGGGUAAAUUUUGGCCCAUUCCUCCUGACAGAGCUGGUGUACCUGAGUCAGGUUUAUCUUGCUUAGACUGUAAACUCUCCUUCCAGACACACAUAAAGCAUCCCCAAUCCAAAAUUAAAUCUAGAAUUGGCUUCCUCUAUCGCAACAAAGGAUCCUUCACUCAUGAUGCCAAAAAUAUCCUCGUAAAACUGACCAUCCUACCGAUCAUCGACUUCGGUGAUGUCAUCUAUAAAAUAGCCUCCAACACUCUACUCAACAAACUGGAUGCAGUCUAUCACAGUGCCAUCCGUUUUGUCACCAAAGCCCCAUACACUAUCCACCAUUGCGACCUGUACGCUGUCGUUGGUUGGCCCACGCUUUAUACUCGUCACCAAGCCCACUGGCUACAGGUUAUCUACAAGUCCCUGCUAGGUAAAGCUCCGCCUUAUCUCAGCUCACUGGUCACCAUAGCAGCACCCACUCGUAGCACGCGCUCCAGCAGGUAUAUCUCACUGGUCACCCCCAAAGCUAAUUCUUCCUUUGGCCGCCUUUCCUGCCAGUUCUCUGCUGCCAAUAACUGGAACGAACUGCAAAAAUCUCUGAAGCUGGAGACUCAAAUCUCCCUCACUAGCUUUAAGCACCAGCUGUCAGACCAGCUCACAGAUCACUGCACCUGUACAUAGCCCAUCUAUCUACUUACCUCAUCCCCAUACAGUAUUUAUUUAUCUUCCUCCCCAGUAUCUCUACUUGCACAUUCAUCUUCUGCACAUCUACCAAUCCAGUAGUUAAUUGCUAUAUUGUCAUUACUUUGCCACCAUGGCCUAUUUAUUGCUUUAACUCUCUUAACUUUCCUCAUUUGCACUCUGUAUGUAGACUUUUUGUCUUAUUUUGUUCUACUUUAUUAUUGACUGUUUUGUUUAUUCCAUGAGUAACUCUGUGUUGUUGUAUGUGUCAAAUUGCUAUGCUUUAUCUUGGCCAGGUCACAGUUGCAAAUGAGAACUUGUUCUCAACUAGCCUACCUGGUUAAAUAAAGGUUAAAUAAAAAAUAAAAUAAA